AAUAUUUGACAAUCGGGGGAACGCUGAUCCAGCCAUGCCGCGUGUGUGAAGAAGGNCUNNCGGUUNUNAAGCACUCUAAGCGANNNNNAGGCUACUCUCGUUAAUACAUGGGGGUAGUGGACGUUACUCGCAGAAGAAGAACCGGCUAACGCUGUGCCAGCAGCCGCGGUAAUACAGAGGGUGCAAGCGUUAAUCGGAUUUACUGGACGUAACGCGCGCGUAGGUGGCCAAUUAAGUCACAUGUGAAAUCCCCGAGCUUAACUUGGGAAUUGCAUUCGAUACUGGUUGGCUAGAGUAUGGGAGAGGAUGGUAGAAUUCCAGGUGUAGCGUUGAAAUGCGUAGAGAUCUGGAGGAAUACCGAUGGCGAAGGCAGCCAUCUGGCCUAAUACUGACACUGAGGUGCGAAAGCAUGGGGAGCAAAC
rnacentral:rRNA from 1 species